GUCCGAGUUGUAAUUUGAAGAAGGUAUCUUUGGGUCUGGCUCUUGUCUAUGUUUCUUGGAACAGAACGUCACAGAGGGUGAGAAUCCCGUGCGAUGAGAUGAUCCAGGCCUAUGUAAAGUUCCUUCGAAGAGUCGAGUUGUUUGGGAAUGCAGCUCUAAGUGGGUGGUAAAUUCCAUCUAAAGCUAAAUAUUGGCGAGAGACCGAUAGCGAACAAGUACAGUGAUGGAAAGAUGAAAAGAACUUUGAAAAGAGAGUGAAAAAGUACGUGAAAUUGUUGAAAGGGAAGGGCUUGAGAUCAGACUUGGUAUUUUGUAUGUUACUUCUUCGGGGGUGGCCUCUACAGUUUAUCGGGCCAGCAUCAGUUUGGGCGGUAGGAGAAUUGCGUUGGAAUGUGGCACGGCUUCGGUUGUGUGUUAUAGCCUUUGUCGAUACUGCCAGCCUAGACUGAGGACUGCGGUUUAUACCUAGGAUGUUGGCAUAAUGAUCUUAAGUCGCCCGUCUUGAAACACGGACCAAGGAGUCUAACGUCUAUGCGAGUGUUUGGGUGUAAAACCCGUACGCGUAAUGAAAGUGAACGUAGGUGGGGGCCCGUAUGGGUGCACCAUCGACCGAUCCUGAUGUCUUCGGAUGGAUUUGAGUAAGAGCAUAGCUGUUGGGACCCGAAAGAUGGUGAACUAUGCCUGAAUAGGGUGAAGCCAGAGGAAACUCUGGUGGAGGCUCGUAGCGGUUCUGACGUGCAAAUCGAUCGU
rnacentral:rRNA from 1 species